rnacentral:rRNA from 1 species
UACGAAGGGUGCAAACGUUGCUCGGAAUCAUUGGGCGUAAAGCGCACGUAGGCGGCCCAGCAAGUUGGAUGUGAAAUCCCUCGGCUCAACCGAGGACGUGCAUCCAAAACUGCUGGGCUUGAGUACUGAAGAGGAUCGCGGAAUUCCCGGUGUAGAGGUGAAAUUCGUAGAUAUCGGGAGGAACACCAGCGGCGAAGGCGGCGAUCUGGGCAGAUACUGACGCUGAGGUGCGAAAGCGUGGGGAGCAAACAGG